rnacentral:rRNA from 1 species
GCCAGACUCCUACGGGAGGCAGCAGUGAGGAAUAUUGGUCAAUGGGCGCGAGCCUGAACCAGCCAAGUCGCGUGAGGGAAGACGGUCCUAUGGAUUGUAAACCUCUUUUGUCGGGGAGCAAAAGACGCCACGUGUGGCGUUCCGAGAGUACCCGAAGAAAAAGCAUCGGCUAACUCUGUGCCAGCAGCCGCGGUAAUACGUAGGGGGCAAGCGUUAUCCGGAUUUACUGGGUGUAAAGGGGGCGUAGACGGCAGCGCGAGUCUGAGGUGAAAUGCCGGGGCUUAACCCCGGAACUGCUUGGGAAACUGUGCAGCUAGAGUGCAGGAGAGGUAGGUGGAAUUCCUGGUGUAGCGGUG